rnacentral:rRNA from 1 species
UAGGGAAUCUUCCACAAUGGGCGAAAGCCUGAUGGAGCAACGCCGCGUGUGUGAUGAAGGGUUUCGGCUCGCAAAACNCUGUUGUAAGGGAAGGAAUGACAUUGAGAGUAACUGUUCAAUGUGUGACGGUAUCUUACCAGAAAGGAACGGCUAAAUACGUGCCAG